UUUAACUUUGUCGAAAACAACAACAUAGCUGACUACGGUAACCAGGAAGUGCCGAUUGAAAACUGCAUUAUAACGACAUUCUGUAGAAAAUUUACGUACACUACAAAUACUUCACUCGGGAGGCACCGCACACUGUACCACUCGCUCCAGCCACCUUGAGACGUUAGCAGUCAUCGAUGACGGCGUUAUCAUCAUCAAUGUUGAAACAGCUACGAUCAACGAACAACUGCGCCAGCUGCAUUAACGCUCCUUAACAUGACGGGCCACCAAGAAAUACUGAGCUUGCCAUACUUGCAGAAGCUUAGUAUGGAAAACAUGCGAUACAUUGGCGAACUGAAAAAGGGACUUGUAAAACGGCCUAUUGUAUCCGGAGUGGUGCUAUCGUCUUCUUGGUCAUCUGUUAUACUUCUUCCAAGCUCUACCAGAAACGCCAGAGGGUCCGACGCCAACGUGACCUUCAAGUUAUUAUUGACGGUUUCAAGAAGUCCGAAGAUGUCCUUCAUCUAAGCGGGGGAGGAGUUAACACGAUCGCCCAGCAACAAUUAAGUCGCCAAGCCGAUCACGCAUAGCCGGAUAUUGUACAACGACAGGGCCAGAAGCCCAAGCUUCAGUCAGCGACAAUGUUGCGGGCAAUGCUCUGUGACGCAAGCAGCUGCAAUCCGAAACCAUGCACGAGGCGCCGGGUCGGCACUUUUAGGGCAUAGGGCUAGCUUUGGUUAUAAGGUUUUAUGUACUUAACUUUUAGUUGAAGUUAGGAAAUAAAUCGCGCGUGUCAUGGCCACACUA